UGACCUGGUUCCCAUGGCUUUCUCAGC
rnacentral:piRNA from 1 species